rnacentral:rRNA from 1 species
UACGUAGGGUGCGAGCGUUGUCCGGAAUUAUUGGGCGUAAAGAGCUUGUAGGCGGUCUGUCGCGUCUGCUGUGAAAACCCGAGGCUCAACCUCGGGCCUGCAGUCGAUACGGGCAGGCUAGAGUUCGGUAGGGGAGACUGGAAUUCCUGGUGUAGCGGUGAAAUGCGCAGAUAUCAGGAGGAACACCGGUGGCGAAGGCGGGUCUCUGGGCCGAAACUGACGCUGAGGAGCGAAAGCGUGGGGAGCAAACAGG